UACGUAGGUGGCAAGCGUUGUCCGGAUUUACUGGGCGUAAAGAGCGCGCAGGCGGUCAGAUAAGUCGAAUGUGAAAGCCCCCGGCUCAACUGGGGAGGGUCAUUCGAUACUGUUCGACUCGAAGGCAGGAGAGGGAAGCGGAAUUCCCGGUGUAGUGGUGAAAUGCGUAGAUAUCGGGAGGAACACCAGUGGCGAAGGCGGCUUCCUGGCCUGUUCUUGACGCUGAGGCGCGAAAGCUAGGGGAGCAAACGGGG
rnacentral:rRNA from 1 species